CUUGGCGCUGCCACGUUAGAGAAUCCUUCGUCCCCUCGCAGUCGCACGCACGCACCAACUUCCCACACCACAGCAUACCAGGCGGCGGCGGCGGCGGUGAUGGGAGGCGAGGGCGCCAGUUCCAGCGGCGGGGGGUUCCGCGCCCGGAUAGACCACUACCUGUACAGCGGAGAGAAGAAGCACGUCGUCGCAGGCAUCGCCAUCUUCGCCGCCAUUUUCGGGGUGCCCUGGUACCUCAUGACCCGAGGGGCAAAGCAUGACUCCCAUCAAGAUUAUGUGGAGCGAGCUAACAAGGCGAGGUCGGAUAGGCUUUCUUCUGGACAGCCAUCAUCACUGAAAGAAUGAAGCAGCUGUCUCAACCGGCCCCAGAUUGCCCAACAUCUGCAUGCAGUUUACAUUAUGAAUCUGAAGGCUUAAUCUUGUGUCAAAUAAACAGACCAUCUCUGUUCUGAUUGUCAGCAGCUAUGGGGAAAACGUAGUGCUAUUGUAAUACAGUAAUAGAAAUUUUGUUCGCGGGAAACUCAGAGUAGUGUCUUUUCUAUUCUAAGAGGAGAUGAUGGACAAAUCAUGGUAUUUUUAUCUCAUCCGGAGCCAACUCUUGUUUGUACGCCACUGGAAGAUAGUGCGCCUG
rnacentral:rRNA from 1 species